GUCCACACCGUAAACGUUGGGCGCUAGGUGUGGGAUCCAUUCCACGGGUUCCGUGCCGCAGCUAACGCAUUAAGCGCCCCGCCUGGGGAGUACGGCCGCAAGGCUAAAACUCAAAGGAAUUGACGGGGGCCCGCACAAGCGGCGGAGCAUGCGGAUUAAUUCGAUGCAACGCGAAGAACCUUACCUGGGUUUGACAUAUGCCGUAAACGUCUGGAGACAGGCGCCCUUUUAGUCGGUAUACAGGUGGUGCAUGGCUGUCGU
rnacentral:rRNA from 1 species